rnacentral:lncRNA from 1 species
AUGUUUUUCAUUCUCCAUUGUUGCUCUUCAUUAUACCUGCAGAUAUUACUAUUUACAACAGAUGUCAUCCAUACUGUGGGACCUAUAGCCAGGGGUCACAUCAGUGAUUCUCAUAAAGAAGACCUUGCAAAUUGCUAUAAAUCUUCUCUGAAGUUGGCAAAAGAAAAUAAUAUCAGAUCAAUUUAUGAUUUUGGCUCACUCCUAGUUGAAGAACAUCUUCAAGUCCACCUUCGUGGAGGGAGUUUCUUACUGGAAGUUCCUUGGAUCAAGGAGAGCUACUACUAUAUUGACAAUGAUUAACCUUUUCUGUAAAAUGUGGAUAAAAAUACUUGUACUGAUUCUCAUAGGAUUGUUUUGAGGGGAUGAUAUUCUUUUAUAAAAAUGUAAACUCAAUGAAGUCAUAAACUAUCUUGUCUUUGGAUAAUCAGUGCCUUGUAGUUAUUAAUAAGUGCAUGUUGAAUUGAAUAAAAUAUGUUUUUUAAAUUAUAUUAGUAUUUUA